rnacentral:rRNA from 1 species
AUUGAACGCUGGCGGCAGGCCUAACACAUGCAAGUCGAACGAGUGGCGGAUGGGUGAGUAAUGUCUGGGAAACUGCCUGAUGGAGGGGGAUAACUACUGGAAACGGUAGCUAAUAACGCAUACCAUCAGAUGUGCCCAGAUGGGAUUAGCUAGUUGGUGGGGUAACGGCUCACCUAGGCGACGAUCCCUAGCUGGUCUGAGAGGAUGACCAGCCACACUAGAAGUGAGACACGGUCCGGGCUCCUACGGAGUGCAGCAGUGGGGAAUAUUACACAAUGGGCGCAGGCCUGAUGCAGCCAUGCCGCGUGUAUGAAGAGGGCCUUCGGGUUGUAAAGUACUUUCAGCGGGGAGGCGUUACCCGCAGAAGAAGCACCGGCGAACGCCGUGCCAGCCGCCGCGGUAAUAC